GGGCGGGACGACGGACGCCACUUCCGCUUCCGCCGGAGCGGAGCCGGGCCGCAGACAUGAGUCGCUUCAAGUUUGUGGAUAUUGGUAUCAACUUGACAGAUCCUAUGUUCAGAGGAAUUUAUAGGGGAGUUCAGAAGCAUCAAGACGACUUACAAGAUGUAAUAGAAAGAGCUGUCCAGAUUGGUGUUAAAAAGUUUAUGAUCACAGGUGGAAAUCUGCAGGACAGUAAAGAGGCACUGCAUUUGGCACAAACAAAUGAUAUGUUUUUCAGUACAGUUGGAUGUCAUCCUACAAGAUGUGAUGAAUUUGAAAAGAAUGACCCUGAUCUUUACCUAAUGGAGUUGUUAAAUCUCGCUGAAAACAAUAAGGGGAAAGUUGUAGCAAUAGGGGAAUGUGGACUUGAUUUUGACCGACUACAGUUCUGUCCCAGAGAUACUCAGCUCAAAUAUUUUGAAAAACAGUUUGAACUGGCAGAACAAACAAAAUUACCAAUGUUUCUUCACUGUCGGAACUCACAUGCUGAAUUUUUGGACAUAAUGAAAAGAAACAGAGAUCGGUGUGUAGGUGGAGUGGUGCAUUCAUUUGAUGGUACCAAGGAAGCAGCAGCUGCCUUGAUGGACUUGGAUCUCUAUAUAGGAUUUAAUGGUUGCUCACUGAAAACUGAGGCUAAUUUGGAAGUUUUGAAGUCAAUACCUAGUGAAAAAUUAAUGAUUGAAACUGAUGCACCUUGGUGUGGAGUGAAAAGUACACAUGCUGGGUCAAAAUAUGUAAAAACUUUGUUUCCUACCAAAAAGAAGUGGGAAAAUGGGCACUGUGUGAAAGACAGGAAUGAACCCUGCCAUAUAAUAUUAUAAAUUCCAUGAAACACAUUUUGAAGCUCUUGUAUGUCAGGAAGGUGUAAGUUACUGAGGUUACAUAGAAGAAUCAAAGUCCCUGCCCGCAUCCACCCAGCAGAUGACGAGAUACAUUCUGCCAGGCACUUUGGAUAAGACAUUGAAGGUGUCAGACAGGAAUCCUGGCCUUCCUGAAGCAAAGCAGCAGAAAGUAUAAUCCAAGAUGUUAGUUCUGUUAUAGAGGUAUGAAUACACGACUAGGAGCACAGGACAUAGUCACUGCCUGCCUUGUGGGGAAGUAGCUUAACUAAGGUGACAUUUCAACUGGUCACAAAGUGCAACUGGGAGUUAGGCCAGACCAGGACAGACGCCUUGAGCAAAGGCAGGCUGCAGCAGGGCUUGGCUGCUCAGAGGGGAAACAAUGAGUUUACUGUGACAAAAAGUAGGAUGCACGGGUAAGUAAUAAGUCUGGGAAGACUGGUGAGCGCUCCUGUAUGCCAACCUUAGUAGUUUAGAUUUCACCAGGACCCAAAGGAUUUUCAGCAGGAAAAUGGCAGUUGUUUUUAAAACGCUGUUAACCUAUCAGCACAGAGAAAGGACUGAAAAAGGAGAUGGGUGGCAGGAACCUUACUGAUUUCACACAUUAUGCAGGAAUAAACAAGCAACAGAUGGUUCCUAAUUCAGAAAGUCUCGGUAAUAAGGACCUCAUCAUCAACCCUUCAUCAGCAACACUUCAAAAUCACAAGCCUACUGAAAACUGAUCACAAGAAUUACCUCAUCAACAAAAUUUGCCAAGUUUCAGCUGCUUUAAAAAAAAAUGUUAUGCAUAAAUGCUUCUCACACUGGUAAUGCAAGUAAAGACGGGGGAUGAAACAGGAUAUUGUUAACACUCCAUUCAUUUACAACAAAGGCAGUGAUUUUCAGGAGUCUCGGAAAAGUCUCCUCACUUUCUAGCCAUUUUUAUAACGAUUUUCAAUACCUUCUCUAUUCAUGGAAAAUGCUAAGACUCGUUACAAGUAUCGCUGUCUUCAUGAGCAUUUUUGGUAAUCGUUUCAAGGUUUGACAUUCGAAACCCUGUCUCCUUCGUUUGGGUGUCAUUUCCCGCAGACACUUCAUGAUCAUGUGGGCCCGGGGAUACAGAAGUGACAACAUACGAGUGCUCUGUAUUCUGGAGAGGGGGAAACUGAGGCCCGGGCCUUGGCACUACAAGCCCAAGGUCACACACGGCGAGAUGGGGCAGAGUUGCUGUUUUUCCAAGGCUGUCGCAGGAGACGCGGCGAGCCAGUACUCAUUCCCCAAGAGAAACAGCAGGCAAAGAGCCGCAUGCUCACACAUCCAUGCUUUCUCCCCACCCUCGGUGCAAAAAUGAACGGAGGGCUGACUCUUGACGAGGACUGCUCCGCUGUCAACUCUGAGACAAGUGUCAUCUCCUCCCCUCUCCCAGCCUGCAAAGAUGCCUCUGUUGGGAAAGAAACUGGUUCUCAAACACACAUACACACACUACCCACUGACUGCGCGCGGGUGCCCGCUCCCUGCAGCACGUCUCGGCCCGCACAGCCGUCCUGGGACGCAAGCUACCCGGUUCCGCUUACCAAGAAGCCGGAGGAAGAUCUGGAGCCCGAUGCAGAACCGGCUUUGGCUGGAAUCGUAGUAGGAGUUGAAGAUGGCGUCGAUGAUGUAGAGGCAGGGCACCCGGAGCGCCACCUCGAGCGCCGCCCAGACCUGCUGAUGGGCCAUCCGCACCUGCUGCUGCGGGGGCCCCACCGCCGCCAUGAGCCGCUGCCACACCGGGGCUGGGCGAGCCGGGCAGGGCCGCGCGGGGCAGGGCCCGGGACCACGGCCAGGGGCGGGGGCUAAGGCGGGCGACUCCGCCCCCGCCCUCCCUCCUCUCCGGUCUGUCUCACCGCCUGCCCCGCCGCCCGCUCGCGUCUCUCGAGCUGGAGCAGGCGGCGGAGGCUCCCGGGAGGCCUCUGGGUGUCUGUGUUUCCGGCCGGCUAAGGUCUGGCUCCUCCUCCCUCCAACGCCUCCCCCGCCCGCGGCGCCACCAUCUUGACCUCGCCCGCCUGCCUCUGCCGUUGCUGCUGUUUGGAGGCCAGGAGGCUGCGUCCGCGGUCACGCGAGACCGCAGGGCCCGCGCCGCCGACUGCGUCAUAAUCCGGCGUUAGGGGCGCUCCCCAGACCGUCAUCACGCGCGGCGUAGCGAACGUCUCGCCGCGUUGCCAUGGUUUCCGCCCACCUUCGCGGCUUUGGCGCCACCGGGUGGCGCAGGCGCUCUCCGGCAGCCGCGCCCUCCUGCCUGAGUGGCUUCCUCACGGGAGGCGGUGGCAGCGUCGGUUCUGCGAGGGACUCCCUGCUUCCGUGGGCGGAAUUAUUAGCCGCUUCGUUCUAACCCAUUAAACGUCCCAUAAACGUGGUUCGGAGCUGUUUGGGAGGAGGAGAGCAGAGGGCGCCGCCCGCCGGACCUACCCCACCCCGCCCGGAGGCCGGUCUGAGGAUGGCAUUUUCCAGGGAAAAUCUCUGCGAGGCCGCCCGGGGUCCUGCUGGAGAGUCGCUGAGCGCGCUCUGUGCUGCGGCCGUGCGACGUGGCAAUGAGCUGGGGGUGGUAGGCGCUGCCAAGGAAAGCAUCCCUCUCCUCUCUUGCGCAUCACCUUCCGUGUCUUCUACCCGACGGGACAGAACUGAGGACACCCAUCGGCCGCACUUUGCCAAUGUCAAGGGCCACUUGUGAUUUAAGGGCGAGAACCCAGGGCUCUGUGUUUCUGGCCUUUGAGGUCCGCACGCUCAGGCAGUCCCUUCUUUCCUCCUCAGGGAAGAAGCCGCACUUGUUUUUGUAGGGGAUCAGAAUGUGCCACCCCAAAACAUGCCGCUUUGACACAAAGAUAAUUUUCAGCUGAAGAUAGCAGAGAAACAGCAGAAGCUUAAUUUUUUUUUAAAGAUCCCUGCCCGCCCUCCUCACUGCCCCCGUUCGCCUAAAAGGCAGGACAUAAAUUUCUAUUUGUAAAGGUGCCUCCCUCUCCCUUACCAAGAAGAGGGCAACUCAGACUUUCAGUGACCCGCAAACCUUAACUAAAUGAACCCUUAUCUUCCAUUCGUUUCCCCCAUUACGUUUUUACCUUAGCAGUCUGCUGUCCCUGAAAGCCUAAUCCCCUUUUCUUUUGUCACUUCUCUACAAAAUUAUUCUUUGUAAAUACAUUAAACCCCAAAUUGUAGGCACGCUUUGAGUCAUUCACCACUUAGUUUCUCGCAUGGGUAUGUGCACUCACGGGUUAAUAAACUGCUUCUCUCUUGUUGA